CCUGCGAUGGAUCUCGUACUUUUGCAUGUCACUAUCAGAAUCGCCAAUUGAUGCAGUUCCUCAUGGGGUUGAAUGAUACAUAUGCCCCCAUUUGCAGUCAGAUUCUCCACAUGGACCCUUUGCCCCCUUUGGGUCGUGCAUACUCUCUUGUGUUGCAAGAUGAGUCCCAACGUCUCCUCCAAUCGUCCAACAUCAUCGAAGGAUCUGCCCUCCUGGCCGUGCCCCCUGCAUCUCCCUCGGAUGGUCUUCUUCCCUUACCGUCUGGAUCUGCUAACGCAGCCACACGUUCACAUUCCACUGAUCAACGGUCUAAAUCCAAGGAUCGCUGCACUUACUGCCGCAUGACUGGUCACACUCGUGAUGUUUGUUACAAACUGAAUGGUUAUCCCUCUUGAAUUGCAUGACGCUCCCAAGCUGGUGCUGGAACCACUUCUGCUUCUAUCAUUUCUUCGAGAUCCCCAAAUCCUUCCAUUACUAGAGAUCAAUAUCAACAUCUUCUCCGUUUACUAAAUGAGGUACAUGUUCAGCCCACUGCAAACCUAACAGGACCGCUUGACAGGGAAGGAGAUUGGACGGGGCCAUGAACGUGGUGUCUUAUACUACCUUCACAUUUAUUCUCUACCUCUUUCCCUUGCUUCCAUGGGAUUGACCUGAGUUAUGGCAUCACCGACUGAGACAUCCUUCAUUUGACCGGUUGAAGGCUUUACGUAACACACUUGUUUUCUCUUCCCUUGUUACUUCCCCCCUUUGUGAUGUAUGUCCCCUUGCUAAGCAACAUCGUUUACCUUUUCCAUCUAGUUCUAUUUCUACAACUGCAAUUUUUGAAUUAAUUCAUUGUGACAUUUGGAGACCAUAUGCCUCCACUAAUACUGGUGCCCGAUAUUUUUUGACUAUUGUUGACGAU